CCUGUGCAUCAAUACGUUUUACCUGCGUUUUUAUACCUGUUGCAUCACCUGUAAGGACCGUGUGCAAAAAAUUAGGGUCGUGUGCAAAAAUAGGUUGGACUUAAUUACCUUUUGAUCGUACUAUGUACGAUUUUGUACACAGUCUAGUCAGCGAGCUACCUAUGCAUUAUUACAUCAUACACUUGUAAAAUUAAAGUUUCAUUUUCACUUUUGUUUCUAAGAAGUGAACUUAGAUUUUCAGAAAAUGUAGGACUAUCUUUUGUUUUUCCUCUCUUUUACUAUGAUGAUUUUCCUGCUGUAAAGCUUUUCUUGUAUAAAGCUCAAUUUCUCUAUGACCACGGAAAUAAGCAUCCUGAUGUAUUCUUGUCAUGUGAAUGUAGAGAGCGUGUUCAUUUUUGAAAUCUCCUUUCUGACAGACAUAUUCCACAGGAUCAGCUGAGAUGUUAUUUCACUGGAUUAUUUAAUGGAUAGGCUUAUUGGGCAUAAAGUUGGAUAUCUCUGGAUCAGCUGAGAUGUUAUUUCACUGGAUUAUUUAAUGGAUAGGCUUAUUAGGCAUAUAGUUGGAUAUCUCUGUCAUCAACAUGGAAUGUAUGACUUCAUCUUUAUACAGUCGGGUUCGGGUUCGGCGGUCAUGGCGAAUCUCGGCAAGAUUUUACCCCCAGUGAAAAAGGCUUGUAAUCCACCGUUCCUCAACCUGGAAGAUAUGUUUUGUUCCUAACCAUCUAUAAUCCAUUCUCUAUGAAGUGAAGCCUGGCUGCUGGUCUUCCU